UACUCAUUCUUCUUUCUCACGCUUUGACCUUCUCCACAAACCCUAGAAACCAAAGUUGUUCAUGUGCCAUCUUCUUCUUCCCCUGAAUCGAUCCCUCACCACCUCACCUCCUGCUUACCUUAAUCUUUCGUUGUCAUCUAUACAAUCCGAUACCACCAUCUGCUAAUUACCUUUUUUUUACUUUACAUGUUACCUUCUGAUCAUAUUUAUUUCAAAUCAAGAAUUAGGUUUGCUCUUAUUUCAAUUCUUUAUGAUUCAUACACGCUAAUCAUCUUUAAGUUUCCAAUCCAGGAAUCCGUACCUCUGGCCACCCAAUCGACGGUUGCACAAUCGAGUAAUCGACACCGCCAUAGAGAUCCAAAAACCCAAGUUUUUCGUUGACCAAAGUGGCUGAAAGAUCGGAAGAACAGCCAUAAAAAAUGAAGAAGGAUUUACAGGUUAGACACACAUCAAUGAUGCAACAGAUUGCUAUGGAAUAUGGAUGUCAGUUGUGUUGAUCCAGCAGAUCACUAUGGAAGUAAACAUUGUGUUUAUUCAGUAAGCCAUGCUCUUCAGGUAAAAAAAUCAGGUAUAUACAUGAAGCGUGAUUUGUUGGCUAUUGAAAUAUUUCAAACUGUCUACAUACAUUUGUUAAAGACUCUACUAAACAAGUAAUGGGGCUAAGGAGUAUAUUCCAUUUAAAGUUUUGGGAUUAGCACUGAUACAAGUGAGUUUAAGUAAUUGCGUAUUAUAUUUAAUUAUUUAUUAAUUUUUUAUAUAUAAAGAAAUUGCCUUUCAGGUUAUGCUUUUUGGUUUAGGCUUUUGAAUUAGAUUUUAAGGAUUGUCAAUGUUGGUUAUGUCAUUUAUAGUUGUGUCCCCUUGCCUUUGCAGGUAUCGUGCGUUUUGCUUAUUGUUAGGAUUGUCAAUGACUUUGUUUACGAGGUUAGUUUGAUUGUUUUUAUUUAGAUUUAUAUUGUUUUAGAUAGUCUGGCGUGUACACUAUCUCUACAAAAUGAUUGAAGAAUGAAGAGUCCAUAAUCUCAAAGAUGUGGCUAAGACAUGGAAAUUUUGGAGUUCUGACCCACUGCUUUAAUGUCGCUUACAUACUAUAUUGACCGAACAUGGUUUUAACGAUGAAAAGCGUUACAUGUGGGACGACACUCUCAUUUGACGAUCAAGAGCUAUAUAUGGUGUUAAUUGUUCAAAUAUUAGAUCGAGUUAUUCUAUAAAUUGGUUCAAAUGGAGAAGAAGAAGCAUCCAGUCGGAGCAGAGCACUAUGUGCUAUAUGAAGAGGUAGGGCAAGGUGUUCGUACAUCAGUAUAUCGCGCCAUGUGUACUCUAAUCAAUGAGAUCAUUGCGAAUAAGAUUAUUGAUUUUUAACACGACAAUAGUGAUCUGGUAAAUUCUAUUCGUUCAUAGUCUUAUACCGUGCUUUGAUAAUUCCUGGAUUGAUUUGAUUUAGUUUUUGUAGAUUUCUUAUUAUAUUUGGUUCAUUGAUUUUAAAAUUGUUUUACUUAAUAAUACCUCUUAAGAAUACUUGGAUAAGAUUGGGAUUUAUAGGUUAGGUUUAUAAGUUUAUUUUUUAUAGGUCUAUAUAUUUAUAUUGAUUUUGAAAAAUACUUUUAUGUAUAGGGGCUGAGCCUGAACAUAAACUUAUCAGGCAGUGUGUUGAUAUGUGCUAACGUGUGUAACGGCGUUAGCGCGUUAUCUUAUGUGUUAUUGAAUACUCGCUCUAAAGGGAAAUAUAUUGCUUUUAUGUUUUAUGUUUGGCCCCAAAUAUUGAUCCUUCCAAAUAUUAUAGAAAAUAUAGUGCUUUACUCCAGGUUAAAUCUUUCCUUUUAUGCAGAACUAUCUGGUUGCAAUCAUGGCAGGGGUUUUGGUGCUAUCUACCAGCUUUCAUUCUAUAGUUUCUUAUGGAAUCAAAGUCCGUUCUAUUAAAGUGAUAUGGUAGUUACAAGAUCAACCCAUGUGGGUGAGGAUUUUUUGUUGUUUGUGGGAAGCAAACGCUAUAGACAACUUGGACCAAAGAGGCCAGGAUUUCCACUCAAAAGUUGCAGCUACCACCACAGUUUAAAAACUAAAGCCUUCAAGAAUUGUCCCAAAGGCCGUGUUUGAACGCUUCACUGUUAAGUGAUUGUAAGAUAGUCAAUGUGACUGAAACGACACACAAAACACCAAUGAAGCAUAAGAUAAUAUGGGUUGACAAUUUUGCUUUUGCCUCUGACAUUUUGGCUCUUUUGUGGCUGGUGAAGCAUGCAAUGGAAUGGGUCAAGAAAAAAAAACUCUAAUGCAAUUUUUUCUCAUACAUGGUGCCGAUAUAACACCCCCCCCCCCCAAUUACUUGCUACAUCCCCCUUUGAGAGAAAGAUGGUGGGUCCCACAUCCAAGUUUGUGAGAAGGGGAUAUAAUAAGAAGCAAAUAAGGGGUGUAUUUAGUAUCACCCUCUUUGUAUAUGAAUUUGGAUCAAGUUCCUUCAUUUCAAUCAGAUUUGUGCAUGAAAAAUCAUAUAUAGACGAGCAGAUACGGAAAACAUAAGCUUUGGAAAGCAGUGGGUCUUCAGAAGUUAAAAGAGUUGAAUGAAGGAGGUUAUUGGUUGAAAAUAUGUUGAUGGAGCUUUAAGGAGAGAUAAUCAAGCGAGUGGAAGUUAGCGAUAACAUUGGCCGCUCCGGCGAAAUGUCAUGGUUUGUGGAUGUGUGUGUAAACGGUUGAGAGUUUCAGAUCCAAAUUUGUUAGUUGGAUUUUUACGAAAGGGUUCGAGUUCGUUUAACAAGGUUGGGGCUGCUAAAUUUACUGAAGAAACUGGUGCCUUUGGAAUUAUUUAUGAGGCUAUCUUUGGUAGUGACUUGGUUUUAUUAUUGAUUUCUGGUUCAACUCGGGUUUGUUGGUUUGGCAUGUUUUGACCAAUGUAUAGUCUCUUUAAGUAUAUGAUCAUUGAGCUGAUGUGAUUUUGUAGUUAAUGCAAGCGGAUAACUACGAGAAAAUCUUUUCACACAUGAAGCCAAACAACAUACUUGGGUUAUCCCAUGGGUUCUUUCUUGGUCAUCUGCAAUAAGUUCUUGAUUUCCCCAAGAACACAAGUGUGGUUGUUGUGCGUCCCAAAGGAAUGGGUCCAUCUGUUAGGAGGCUUUAUGUUCAAGGAAAAGAAAUAAAUGGAGCUGGAAUCAAUGCAAGUUUUGUUGUUCAACCGGUUGCUUUUCUUCUUUAUUCUGUACAUAUCUUGUGAGAUAUUUAGAUGAAGAAAAAUUGUACGUGUGUGCAGGAUGUUGAUGGAAGAGCCACCGAGGUGAGCCUUUUAACUGUAUUUUCACUGCCAAUAAGUAAUCUAUGUAAGAUGUCACUUUGUUUGUAUUUAUACACUUUGUGAUAAUGUACAUUAAAUUUUCCGACCCGCGAAGUUCGCGGGUGAUAA